rnacentral:rRNA from 1 species
UACGUAGGGCGCAAGCGUUGUCCGGAAUUAUUGGGCGUAAAGAGCUCGUAGGCGGUUUGUCGCGUCUGCUGUGAAAACUCGAGGCUCAACCUCGGGCUUGCAGUGGGUACGGGCAGACUAGAGGUAGGUAGGGGAGAAUGGAAUUCCCGGUGUAGCGGUGAAAUGCGCAGAUAUCAGGAGGAACACCGGUGGCGAAGGCGGUUCUCUGGGCAUUACCUGACGCUGAGGAGCGAAAGUGUGGGGAGCGAACAGG